GCCUGGCUGGCUCAGUUGGAAGAGCGUGAGACUUUUGAUCUCAGGGUCUUGAGUUCAAGCCCCACCUUAGGUA